UGGAGUUUUGGCCCGUUCUCCUGCAGAGCCUGGCACACCAGGCCGACUAAUGUCUGGGAGCCAAGCUGUCAAAGACAGGAGGUCGUAAACAACCGCAGCCUCAAACUGGCCAACACACGGAGAGGAGUAGUUUCACGUUCGUCUUACAGUCGGACGCGUCGGCCUCACGGGAAUUUACGAUGAUUCUGUCAAAAUGGCUGCUUUGCCGCUACCCUAGCCUGGCUGGCCCGGUUAACGGAUGCCAGAUCUGUGGCCACAGGUGUGACGUUUCCCCGUCUUCUCCUGCAGCAUCAGCAGACGGACGCAGCUCUUUCUGAACAUGGACGACUUCCUCUGGCGAGGGCACGAGUCGUCGCAUAAAUUACCCUACGGCACCAAGGGCAGUGAGCUGCUGCUGCUCAAAGUCCUCGCCGUGACUGCAAAUUAUCAGGUGCCAGACAACAUCGAAAAGCUUGAAUGUAGAAGAUGUGCAGUAAUAGGAAACAGUUUCUCCAUUAAAAACAGCUCCCUGGGAAACUUCAUCGACCAGUAUGAUGUAGUUAUUCGAUUAAACGAUGCUCCGGUGAAGGGCUACGAGAAGGAUGUGGGCAGCAAGACCACCAUGAGGUUCUUCUACCCUGAAUCAGCGUCCAACAACCCCGGACUGCACAAUGAGCCCGACACGCUGAUGGUCCUGGUGCCGUUCAAAGAGCAGGACCUGCAGUGGCUCAAAGAAAUCCUCUAUAAUGAAAAGAGGGUCAGGAAAGGCUUCUGGAAGCCGCCUCCCCAAAUCUGGACGGUGGACGUCGGUAAGAUUAGAGUCCUCGACCCUCACUUUCUGUUCCAUACUGCGGACCGAUUACUUCAGAUUCCUUUGCAGCCCAAAGAUCCCAGUUCAUCCCACCACGGGUCUCCUCGCCGUGUUCGUGGCUCUCAACUACUGCGACGUCGUCCACCUGGCAGGGUUUGGCUAUCCUAAAACAGCCAACCAGCGGCAGCCCAUCCACUACUACAGAAAUGACACCAUGUCGUCCAUGAAGAACUCCUACCACGACGUCAACCAUGAAGCCAGAGCCUUGAGGAGACUGGAAGAUUCUGGAGCGAUCUUCUACCUGCACGCGCAUUCAUGACGUGGACACCGUUAAAAACACGGACUGAAACUUCAGUGAAUGACAUCUGGAUCGUCAGGUGUCAUGUGACUCGAGACACUUGAAGCUGCUGCAGUGCCAUCCAGUGGGAGGUUGUGGGAGUUGAAGUUUGUUCGUGAACAUUGCCGAUCCUGCGGCGAACAGAUGAAUGAAGGUACGAAGAUUAGAAUUCUGGUUCGACCAGAAACAUCUCAAGUUUCACUGGUCUGAAUCAGAACCAGCGGUGAGUCACUGUUGGUCACUUUAGAACCCUGUGAAUGUUUGGACCAAUCACUGUAGGGUGUAGAUUUUUAUUUCAUUUUAUUUUGUUCUCAGCUCCAGGUCUGAGAUUUAAAAAUCGUUUUUGUCAGAAUCCAUGAAGAUCAUUUGUCAAAUCGCUCAGUGUAAUGAUAGGUUUCAUAGGUGGAAUAAAAAAAAUAACUUCCUUAAAUCUGAUUCACAGUUGAUGAUGACGAAGAUGUUGAACCCAUGUUCAUAAGAUGUUACUGAUGUUUUCAGACUGAAAUACAAAUUUGUAUUUUGACAGAUAUUAGGUUUCGCUAAAUGUUCUUAAUUUAUUACUUUGUUCCAGAAUUAAACUGGUGGGAUUUUUUGUCUUAAUUCUGAAGGGUUUUAAAAAAAAGUUUUAUUAAAAAUAAAAUGCAACAGAAUUGUA